rnacentral:lncRNA from 1 species
GGAAGAGCCUCUUCUUGGCUGUCCUGCCCUGCCCUGCCCAGCAGGGUCUUAGCUGGGUAGCAGGCUGCACCCCCAGCCAGCAGCCAAUUUUGAUCACACUAAUGAGGCAGUGUUUUGGAGGGCCAGGCAGUUUUAUUAUCUGAUGCCUCCACCUUAGAACCUGACCCUCUCUGAACCACAAAUUCCAGUCAUGAGCAAAUCUUUUUAUGGAGCCAGCAGAGAUGACAGACAGGAAGAAAAUGGGGAAGGACCACUCCCUUCUUCCACCUUUAUAUUCAUUCAUUCUCUCUCUCUCUCUCUCUCUCUCUCUCUCUCUCUCUCUCUCUCUCUCUCUCUCUCGGCUUGCGGUUUUGUUGUUGUUCUGUAUUUUUUCUACUUUUGUUGUGCAUUGCUGGGGGUUGAACCCAGGGCCUUGCACAAGCUAAGCAUACACUCUGCCACUGAGCUAUAUCCCCAGCCCUUUUAAUUUUAUUUUGAGACAGGCCUUGAAUUUGUGCUCCUCCUGCCCCAGCCUCCUGAGUAGCAGCAUCCAUUUCUCCCCUCCUUUGGGCAGAGCCUAACACAGAGGCAACUAGCAAAGCACAGAUAGUGUGCAGAUUCCUAUUUCCAGACUCACAAUACAGAGCCUAGCAAGUGAGCUUAGAGCUGAAAAAACAGUAACUGGCACAAGGGCUUAACAUACACAACACAGUGACCCCGCAGGCAAACAGGAACCUUCAGGGAUACACCACCCCUCCUCCACUCACCCAGAAAUGAGAGCAGUAUCUUAAAAGCCAAUGGGCCAAAUGGCCAAGCAUUCAUCACAUGGACUUUUCUAUUGAUAUUUCCUUUGCUGAGUCUGGCACAGUGGCUCCCAAACUUAGUAUCUAAGAAUUGCUGCAUGUUCUGCAUAAUAGUUGGUUAAGAGUUUUCUAAUUCGAUUUUUUUUUUAUUGUUUGCUUCUUUUGUUUUUGGUGAUACUGGGG